rnacentral:rRNA from 1 species
CAAUAGCGUAUAUUAAAGUUGUUGCAGUUAAAAAGCUCGUAGUUGGAUUUCUGUGAGAGUGCCGGUGUCGGCUGAUGCUUGUACGCAGGCGCUCUUACAUCCUUCUGUUAACUGUUCUUGGCAUUUUAUUGCUGGUUCAGGGCUCAGAUAUUUUACCUUGAGAAAAUUAGAGUGUUUCAGGCAGGCUUAUGCCGGAAUACAUUAGCAUGGAAUAAUGGAACAGGACCUGUGCGUCUCUCGGGGCGCCGGUCUCCGUUAUUGGUUUCGGGGACUAAUGUAAUGAUUAAUAGGGAUAGUUGGGGGCAUUAGUAUUUAAUAGUCAGAGGUGAAAUUCUCGGAUUUGUUAAAGACUAACUUAUGCGAAAGCAUUUGCCAAGGAUGUUUNCAUUAA